rnacentral:misc_RNA from 1 species
AAGUCGUAACAAGGUUUCCGUAGGUAUGUGAAUAUCGUCUCGAAUCCUUUAAUCUUGAUUUAUGCUAACUAUUUUCUAGGUGAACCUGCGGAAGGAUCAUUACUAGUUUAGGGUACUCAGUGCCCAAACUUCAACCCUAUGAUUUACCAAUCUGUUUCUUUGCCGGGUUCAAGGUCCCACCCUUUGUGUACCGUACCUUGUUGCUUUGGCGGGCCCGCGCGCCUUGAAAAGGCGCGCUGCUGGCCCCGCUGGCUUGCGCCCGCCAGAGGCUCAUCAAACUCCCGUUUUUAUCAGUGCCGUCUGAGUACAAACCUAACAAGUUUAAAACUUUCAACAACGGAUCUCUUGGUUCUG